AGUGAACGCUGGCGAUAGGCCUAACACAUGCAAGUCGAACGGCAGCACAGUAAGAGCUUGCUCUUACGGGUGGCGAGUGGCGGACAGGUGAGGAAUACAUCGGAAUCUACUUUUUCGUGGGGGAUAACGUAGGGAAACUUACGCUAAUACCGCAUACGACCUACGGGUGAAAGCAGGGGAUCUUCGGACCUUGCGCGAUUGAAUGAGCCGAUGUCGGAUUAGCUAGUUGGCGGGGUAAAGGCCCACCAAGGCGACGAUCCGUAGCUGGUCUGAGAGGAUGAUCAGCCACACUGGAACUGAGACACGGUCCAGACUCCUACGGGAGGCAGCAGUGGGGAAUAUUGGACAAUGGGCGCAAGCCUGAUCCAGCCAUACCGCGUGGGUGAAGAAGGCCUUCGGGUUGUAAAGCCCUUUUGUUGGGAAAGAAAAGCAGCAGGUUAAUACCCCGCUGUUCUGACGGUACCCAAAGAAUAAGCACCGGCUAACUUCGUG
rnacentral:rRNA from 1 species